GUGAAGGGCUGUCAGGUUUGCCAUUUUGUAGCACAGGAUCAGUAACAAAGGAGGAGCAUCCAUCAAAGAAAGAACUCGGAGGGAUUCAGAUCUCUUUUUCUGAUCCGAUCGCUCGACAAACCGCCAAUAAGCCGAAUUGGUGCUGCCAUUUGCAAUAAG